GGGGUCGACACUAAUCUAUUUGGCUCAAUUGUCAUGCGAUAAGACUUAAUUUUAUUUAAUUAUUCGCAACAGUUUUCAUUACAUUUGAUUUGAAAUCGAUUUUAUCGGAUUUUCUCCAUUUUCCAAGUUUUGAUCUGGUUUUUGUCGAUUUUCUGCUUUCUCUCUCAUCAAAAUGGCAAAAAUCCGAAAUAUCCGGAAAAAUCGAAUAAAAUGAUAAAAAUCGCCCAAUACUGAUUAAAAUCGCGACGCCGCAAUUUAUUUUGACAGCUCUUGCGUCGUCCCAUCAGCUGUUAAAUCAAAACAAGUUUGAACAAAAAAAUCCAAAGAAAAAAAUCAAUUCAGAUUGUGUGUCGAAUCCAUAGUUCAACAACUAUGAACUAUCUCGGGAAUGUAGGCUGGCCAAACGACACCAAGUGGAAGACGUCUAGAGGCACAAAAAACCUAGCAAAAAACCGAUAUUAGGAGCAAUCGUUCCGAUCGGUACUGGUAAUGGAACAACGGUGGUCAUGUUGCAUUGACAGCUGUCUAGAUAUAUUGAAUUGGGUGGAAAACUGCCAACAAAGGAUUACCAGGCAAAUCGGAAGAGGCCUCAGACGAGUACUGCUGAACUAUUCGGGACAGUGGCUACCAGUAAACCGGUUACGAACACCUUUAGACAGUCCCAUUUUCGGAGGAUUCGGUGCUCACAGUCAAACCAGCAGCCGGAGGAUUGUUCUCGGAAAUUGCCAUUACGCAACGAUGAGAGCGCUGAAAGUGUGUCAAUUUUAUUAUAUUUUUUUCUAUAAAAUUGUCUCGCCAGUGUCUAAACAGUAGAAGUGUGAAGUUUAGAUAAAUAACAAAAAAAGUAACAGGUUUUGUUAGAUAAAAAAAAUUUUUUUUUUGUUAG